UUCUUGGUCAUUUAGAGGAAGUAAAAGUCGUAACAAGGUUUCCGUAGGUGAACCUGCGGAAGGAUCAUUAAAGAAAUUUAAUAAUUUUGAAAAUGGAUUUUUUUGUUUUGGCAAGAGCAUGAGAGCUUUUACUGGGCAAGAAGACAAGAGAUGGAGAGUCCAGCCGGGCCUGCGCUUAAGUGCGCGGUCUUGCUAGGCUUGUAAGUUUCUUUCUUGCUAUUCCAAACGGUGAGAGAUUUCUGUGCUUUUGUUAUAGGACAGUUAAAACCGUUUCAAUACAACACACUGUGGGGUUUUCAUAUCUUUGCAACUUUUUCUUUGGGCAUUCGAGCAAUCGGGGCCCAGAGGUAACAAACACAAACAAUUUUAUCUAUUCAUUAAAUUUUUGUCAAAAACAAGAAUUUUCGUAACUGGAAAUUUUAAAAUAUUAAAAACUUUCAACAACGGAUCUCUUGGUUCUCGCAUCGAUGAAGAACGCAGCGAAAUGCGAUACGUAAUGUGAAUUGCAGAAUUCCGUGAAUCAUCGAAUCUUUGAACGCACAUUGCGCCCCUUGGUAUUCCAGGGGGCAUGCCUGUUUGAGCGUCAUUUCCUUCUCAAACAUUCUGUUUGGUAGUGAGUGAUACUCUUUGGAGUUAACUUGAAAUUGCUGGCCUUUUCAUUGGAUGUUUUUUUUCCAAAGAGAGGUUUCUCUGCGUGCUUGAGGUAUAAUGCAAGUACGGUCGUUUUAGGUCUUACCAACUGCGGCUAAUCUUUUUUUAUACUGAGCGUAUUGGAACGUUAUCGAUAAGAAGAGAGCGUCUAGGCGAACAAUGUUCUUAAAGUUUGACCUCAAAUCAGGUAGGAGUACCCGCUGAACUUAAGCAUAUCAAUAAGCGGAGGAA
rnacentral:rRNA from 1 species